GCGGGAGUAGUUAAACUUUUAGAACACGUUCCUUCCCGGAACGAGGUAUAGGUGUAAAUCCUAUCUUCCGCUCCA
rnacentral:tRNA from 1 species